CCCAGGGCAGUGCCUCCAGGACUGUCUGACCUGAGAAUGGUGUGUCGGGGUCAAUCUCAGGUUCGUCAGCCCACGAGGUGCUGCCCCUUU
rnacentral:pre_miRNA from 1 species